GGACAGUGAACGAGGCCCAUCAAGCUGAACUGGCAGGGAACUCAGAAAGAAACAAGAAUGGAAGAAACUCUGCUAGCUGCACUGAUGCUUCUGUGUGUGCAGCUAAUCUCAUCAAAUGGACAGCCUCCAGUGGAGCAGAACCCUGACUCUCUGCAGGUCCGGGAAGGUGACAGUUUCACACUCAACUGCAGUUACAGAGACAGCAAUCUUGAUUUCUUCCAAUGGUUUAGGCAGGUUCCUGGCAAAGGCCUCAGCAACCUGGUGCAAAUACGACUGAAUGAGAAAGAGAAGAGCAAUGAGAGAUUUACAAUCAGGCUAAACAAAGAUGGCCAGCACUUCUCCCUGCUCGUGAAGGAGUCCAGGCUCUCUGACUCCGCCUCACUCGUAUGUGCAGCGAGCACACAGUGCUGCUGGGGCCCCUGCACCCUGCACCCAAACCCUGCUGAGUCCUGCCCCACCUUUUAGAGAAA